UGUUAGCUCAUCAACCAGGGGACUGGAGCAGCUGUCACUGAGAAAAGGCUAACACGUCCACUGUACUGGGAUCGGGGAAGAAGUGCCAGCACGGCAAGACAGCUGAGAAAACAACACAAAGAUGCACCAACCCUCACAGAUUCUUCAAAGUCGGACACCAGCGGUUAUCACAGCGCUUGACUGCAUCAAGGAGACAAAGGGAGCUGUGCAGUGUGCAAACACAUGCCCGGAUUGUGUGUGGGACAGAUAAAAGGAGGUCACUACGGAUACAACAAGGAGCAACACAGCCUGAACCACAGACCGAGAGCAUGUUUCUAAGGAUGAAGCCAGUCUCAUGGGAUAGCCAUGUUUUGUCUCCAUGACAGCUAGAUCACUCAGCCCUCUCUGCAGUGACCUCUGCACAGCAAAGGAUGCUGGGAAAUAAUGAGCACUUUUAUCCCAGUCAGGAUGACAAAGAUGGGGAGGAUGAGGAGGAGGAAGAGGAGCAGGGAAGAGAAAACAGAAAAGAAGAAGGUGAACGUGACAUGGAGAAUGGACGACUAGAGUAUCUGGAGGAAAAGGAGAUGACAGGAGGACGACAAUCCUGGGAAGGGAAAGGCGGUGAGGUGGUGAAACCAGCAGCCAUUGUGGUCGGACGACAGAGAGUAGAUCGGCCGCUGAGGCCGAGCAAUCAGGGCAACCGGGGGGUCCCUUACAUGCCCAAUAUAGCCCCGAUACAUCAUCAAGCUGCCAAUAAGCAGCAGUAUUUCAUGGCAGCAAAGAAACGAGCCCUCAUGGAGCGCAGCAUGACCACAGUGGCUCCACUGGAGGACACUUACUUGACCAUGAUGGUGUUCCGCAUUGGAAUCCCCGACAUCAAACAAACAGUAGGUGCAUCUGCUCAUAACGUGUGUGUGAAAUUCAUGAAAGGCGGAGGCCCGCACAGCCGUCCCUGGAGCUUCUUGACUGAUCAUUUAAAAGUGAAUAAAGUAGCUGAAGCAGAAUUUUUUGAAGAAAAAAACUUGUCAAACCCAGUCCAAAUCAAACAGUUUAAAAGUUUAGUUCUCCCUGUCAAAAAAAAAAAGAAAAAGAAAGAAGUCUCCCUCACACUGCACUGGAGGUCUUUCCAAAUGAGGAAGUAGUUCAAGCCAAGUCUCCCUGGUAUUACUGCCUCAGAGACAGAGAGCUUUAAUGUGACAAACAGAAAUUCCAAAAUAAUAUCUCAGGCUAUUUAAACCAUUAAGGCAGGUACACAUUUAGUUAAUGUUGCUGUUUCUGAUUCUGAUGCUAUGAUCAACUGCAGACAAAAAGCUCCAAAAAAGUCUUUUUUAUAUUUGUGACUAUUUAAAAAAAAAAGAAAAGGACAACAGCCAUUUAAUGAGAGCUGAACACUGGGCUUUGGUCACCACCUUCCCUAUUACCUCCCCUAAAACUCAGAAGCUUUUCAGUUUUCUCCCUGUCUUUUGAUUUGCUUACCUCCCUUCCCGCUUCUCUUCUAUAACCCAGCCAUUUUCCAUCCUUUGAGUUAAAACACGUCAAAUAAUACUGGUGCGUCGCUGACUCUGUCUGUUUCAAAUUAUUCACAGAAAACACCACAUGGGUGACUUGAUGCAUACAUUUUUUUUAUAUAAGUCAAACAGUGUGCUCAACUGUACAAGCACAUCUCUAAUUUCAAGGCUUUUCCAUUCCAGUUAUCCCAGGGGCUCGGAGAUGAGUCCCAAAGGGAAAUAGGAACUCACACAGAGCUCAGCUUGUGCUGAGCACCCUGCAAGGGAAAACAUAUUCAGUCAACAACACCAUGCAAGCAUCUGCCUUGGGUCAGGUGGUCAUAAUUAGUUUCCAAAACUGAAGUUAGUCUCAUUUCACACUUUGAAGCAGCUCUCAGCCUUACGGUGGCAGCAGGCGAGAAUUGGCCGGCCCACACGCACCAUAUCCAGGUGAGAAUGGGUGCCCCACUGUAACCCCUCCCCCAUCCUCCUUUCUCCAUUUUCAACUCCCUGAACAUGCCGACUGUUCUACAUGUCAGCUAAUCUGCCCUCAAUACAACAGUAAUUGCUAAUUAUUUAAUAGGUUUUUAAUGAGUUUUGGGAGAGCUGAGGAAGUGAGUGACUGUGGAAGGGAAGAAAUAUGUGGAAGGCGUCUCUGUUCUCAGGUUUCCAUCAGCCACAGGCAGCGUACCGAGAUCCACACAUCACUGACAAACACUCAGCACUGCAAACCUGGAAGCUGAAGUAUUAUUGAACAGAAUUAAAAAGGGAUAAAGAGAGGGGCUGAAUAUUAGGAGCUACUUAGACAGACUGAAGGAAGGGGGAAAAAUGAUGAAAAGAGAGGAAAAUAUGUGCUGUAAUAGCGCACACUGAAGAUCUAAAUAAUAAAAACUGCCAGAAACAUCUCAGGAAAACUGCAUUAAAGAAGAAACGAUGAGGAGAGAAGCAGCACGGUUAUAUACAGUAUACAUUACAUUAGACCUCACUCAGAGGGAUUAGCCACUCUAUCUCUGUUUUACACACACACACACACACACACACACACACACACACACACACAAAAAAGAAAAACCACUACACUGCACAAGUGCACUCCCAUAAGAAGGCACACACACACACACACACACACACACACAGUUUAUAGCUCACUUAUAUGCAUGCACAUACACACAGUCAUGCUCAUCCCUAUCAUGUGGUUAACCUCCCAGGGACCACCAAGACAUUGCUACGGCAACGGGUGCCUGCCUCCACUAAUGAACUGGUUGCCAUGCCAAUAGAGUUUGCUACACUAUCAAAUAGUGCAACCGAGUGCGGGCUCGAGGGGGGCAGAAGGGACAUGGAAGUGUGCUGAGCUGUGCAGUUUUACUCACAGCCCUCUGAAAUGGAACAAUAGUAUGGAUACAUACAUCUCUCGCACCUCUCAGCUCUCCUGCUGUUCAAGCUUCCAAUCAGCUCUAGCUCCGGGUCCAGAAAGAUGUCUUUCCUGUGGAACUGCACAGAAAUGGAAGAAUAUGAGGAAAUGGACAGUGCAACAAUCACAGUGAAAUCUUGUUAGGACAUCCACACACACACAUAAUACAUCCGAGGUGUUUUAUAAUUGUAGCCUUUGGGUGUAUCCACAAAGUUUGCUCCUCCUCUCCUGGAUAACGGAGUAAACUGGACAAGGAGGGAAUAGCAAAAUAUUUAUCUAUGCAUGUGAGUUUUACUUCUUUAUUAGCAGAGAAAAUCAAAAAAUAUGGUGUAAAAAUGAAAGUGAAAUAGAUCCAAAUAACCUGAUACCACAGACUAAAAGGACAGAAUGAGUCAUCUUAUAAUUCAUGAAUGUGGCAGGUGAUUCAUUAAAAGUAAUGCCUUCAUAUUUUGCACGUGUCACACGCUCAUACAUUCAUCUUGCAC
ensembl:lncRNA